rnacentral:rRNA from 1 species
CACGUAGGGACCAAGCGUUGUCCGGAUUUAUUGGGCGUAAAGAGCUCGUAGGCGGUUUGGUAAGUCGGGUGUGAAAACUCUGGGCUCAACCCGGAGAGGCCACCCGAUACUGCCGUGACUUGAGUCCGGUAGGGGAGCACGGAAUUCCUGGUGUAGCGGUGAAAUGCGCAGAUAUCAGGAGGAACACCGGUGGCGAAGGCGGUGCUCUGGGCCGGUUCUGACGAUGAGGAGCGAAAGAGUGGGUAGCAAACAGG